rnacentral:rRNA from 1 species
GACGAACGCUGGCGGCGUGCUUAACACAUGCAAGUCGAACGGGCCCGCCCCUGUUUUUGGGGGUGGGUUGAGUGGCGAACGGGUGAGUAUCACGGGAGUAACCUGCCCCCUGCUCCUGGAUAACUGCUUGAAAGGGCGGCUAAUACGGGGUGUGCCGGCUGGUCCGCAUGGGCCUGGUCGGGAUAGUUUCAUCUUCGGGUGUUUCGGUGGGGGAUGGGCUCGCGGCCUAUCAGCUUGUUGGUGGGGUGAUGGCCCACCAAGGCGGUGACGGGUAGCCGGCCUGAGAGGGUGGGCGGCCACACUGGGACUGAGACACGGCCCAGACUCCUGCGGGAGGCAGCAGUGGGGGGGAUUGCACAAGGGGCGGAAGCCUGAUGCAGCGACGUCGCGUGAGGGAUGGAGGCCUUCGGGUUGUGAACCUCUUUCUCCGGUGGGGAAGGCCCUGUCCGUUGCGGCGGGGUUGACGGUAGCCGGGUAUGAAGCGCCGGCUAACUACGUG